CAGGUGUCCUAAGGCGAGCUCAGGGAGGACAGAAACCUCCCGUGGAGCAGAAGGGCAAAAGCUCGCUUGAUCUUGAUUACUUUUUUGUAUUAGUUUAAUAAUUAAAAGGGCGAAAGUUGCUAAAAUCUGGAGCCAGCAGCCGCGGUAAGCAACGGCAACGAGCAGCUAACGGACGGACGGCGGACAAGACCCGUGUUGUAGCGGUUCCCGGAGGGCUUGG
rnacentral:ncRNA from 1 species